AACGCACCUUGCGCUCCUUGGCAUUCCGAGGAGCACGCCUGUUUGAGCGUCGUGAAAUUCUCAACCUACAAAUCCUUGCGGUCUUUGUAGGCUUGGACUUGGAGGUAUUUUUGCCGGCGUAGUCUCUUGACGACACUGGCUCCUCUCAAAUGCAUUAGCUUGGUUCCUUGUGGAUCGGCUCUCGGUGUGAUAGUUGUCUACGCCGUGACCGUGAAGCGUUUUUGGGGCAAGCUUCUAAUGGUCUCCUGUUGAGAGACAAACUUUAUUUACAAUGACAUCUGGCCUCAAAUCAGGCGGGACUACCCGCUGAACUUAA
rnacentral:misc_RNA from 1 species